rnacentral:rRNA from 1 species
GUGCACCAGUCGCGAAAACUCCACAAUGUGGGAAACCACGAUGGGGGAACUCCCAGUGCGCACACUUUGUGUGCGCUGUUCUCCUGCCUAAACAGCUUGGAGAAUAAGGGCGGGGUAAGGCCGGUGCCAGCCGCCGCGGUAAUACCGGCCGCCUGAGUAGUGACCACUAUUAUUGGGCCUAAAGCGUCCGUAGCCGGUUUUGUAAGUUUCUGGGUAAAUCCCACAGCUUAACUGCGGGAAUUCCAGAAAUACUGCAGAGCUAGGGGCCGGGAGACGCAGAAGGUACUCCUGGGGUAGGGGUGAAAUCCUAUAAUCCUAGGGGGACCACCAGUGGCGAAGGCGUUCUGCGAGAACGGGCUCGACGGUGAGGGACGAAAGCCAGGGGCGCAAACGGGAUUAGAUACCCCGGUAGUCC